rnacentral:lncRNA from 1 species
AUUUCACUUGACUGGGCGGAGUUUAACCGAUUCGCUCACAAUAAACCAGUCCAUCUAUAGAUAGGUGUUUUAGGAUAAACUCAUCAAUGAAAUGUCCAGUCAUUGUUUUUUUUUUAAAUUCCUUUGAUGACAUUGAUAGGUGAUUAGAAAUCAGUAAUAAUUAUAACGGCUAUCAUCCUUAUCACACACAUCUUCAAAUAGACUGUCCUUAUGCAAAUUAAAACGUAAGCUCCGCCCGAUCAGUUGAAAUGACAUUGGUAAUAGCACUAGUGUAGCAUUGUAAGCAAGUGCUUACAAAUAAAUUAAUAAAACUUUUUUUAAAUAAAACAUUCAGCUGCUUUUGGACUGUCGUCCCCCCUUUCAGAC